UAGGGAAUAUUGCAAAAUGGGCGAAAGCCCGAUGCAGCAACGCCGCGUGGGCGAUGAAGGCCUUCGGGUCGUAAAGCCCUUUUUGAGGGGAUGAGGAAGGACAGUACCCUCAUAAUAAGCCUCGGCUAACUACGUGCCAGCAGCCGCGGCAAAACGUAGGAGGCGAGCGUUAUCCGGAUUUACUGGGCGUAAAGCGCGUGCAGGCGGAUUGGAGAGUUGGAUGUGAAAGCUCCCGGCUUAACUGGGAGAGGUCGUUCAAUACUUCCAGUCUUGAGUGCAGUAGAGGGAAGUGGAAUUCCGGGUGUAGUGGUGAAAUGCGUAGAUAUCCGGAGGAACACCAGUGGCGAAAGCGGCUUCCUGGACUGUAACUGACGCUCAGACGCGAAAGCUAGGGUAGCA
rnacentral:rRNA from 1 species